CCAUGGGAGUCGGUAACACCCGAAGCGGUAGCCUAACCGUAAGGAGGGCGCCGCCGAAGGUGGGAUUGAUGACUGGGGUGAAGUCGUAACAAGGUAAC
rnacentral:rRNA from 1 species